UACGUAGGGCGCAAGCGUUGUCCGGAAUUAUUGGGCGUAAAGAGCUCGUAGGCGGUUUGUCACGUCUGCUGUGAAAACUGGAGGCUCAACCUCCAGCCUGCAGUGGGUACGGGCAGACUAGAGUGCGGUAGGGGAGAUUGGAAUUCCUGGUGUAGCGGUGGAAUGCGCAGAUAUCAGGAGGAACACCGAUGGUGAAGGCAGAUCUCUGGGCCGUAACUGACGCUGAGGAGCGAAAGCAUGGGGAGCGAACAGG
rnacentral:rRNA from 1 species